CGCACCUUGCACCCUCUGGUAUUCCGGAGGGUAUGCCUGUUUGAGUGUCAUGUCAAUCAUCAUCCCGCCGGGUCCUGCCCGGCGGGGUUGGAAUUGGGCGCUGCCGUGUCGGCUCGCCUCAAAUGCAUUGGCGGUCUACGACCCUUGCUACGGCGUAAUACGUUUCGCUGGCGCAUGGGGAGGAAGCCCCCUUGAAACCGCCCUCCGGGGAAUGUACGAUUGACCUCAGAUCAGGUAGGACUACCCGCUGAACUUCA
rnacentral:misc_RNA from 1 species